rnacentral:rRNA from 1 species
GUAGAUAGGAAAUUCCCUUCGGGCUUUCUGCAAGGUGCUGCAUGGUUGUCGUCAGCUCGUGCCGUGAGGUGUCGGGUUAAGUCCCAUAACGAGCGCAACCCUUAUCGUUAGUUGCCAGCUGGUAAAGCAGGGGACUCUAGCGAAACUGCCACCGUAAGGUGAGAGGAAGGUGGGAUGACGUCAAAUCAGCACGGCCCUUAUGUCCAGGGCUACACACGUGUUACAAUGGCCGGCACAGAGGGCAGCUACCUGGUGACAGGAUGCUAAUCUCGAAAACCGGUCUCAGUUCGGAUCGAAGUCUGCAACUCGACUUCGUGAAGCUGGAUUCGCUAGUAAUCGCGCAUCAGCCAUGGCGCGGUGAAUACGUUCCCGGGCCUU